GAUGAACGCUGGCGGCGUGCCUAAUACAUGCAAGUCGAGCGAAUGGAUUAAGAGCUUGCUCUUAUGAAGUUAGCGGCGGACGGGUGAGUAACACGUGGGUAACCUGCCCAUAAGACUGGGAUAACUCCGGGAAACCGGGGCUAAUACCGGAUAACAUUUUGAACCGCAUGGUUCGAAAUUGAAAGGCGGCUUCGGCUGUCACUUAUGGAUGGACCCGCGUCGCAUUAGCUAGUUGGUGAGGUAACGGCUCACGAAGGCAACGAUGCGUAGCCGACCGGAGAGGGUGAUCGGCCACACUGGGACGGAGACACGGCCCAGACUCCGACGGGAGGAAGCAGUAGGGAAUCUUCCGUAAUGGACGAAAGUCUGACGGAGCAACGCCGCGUGAGGGAUGAAGGCUUUCGGGUCGUAAAACUCUGUUGUUAGGGAAGAACAAGUGCUAGUUGAAUAAGCUGGCACCUUGACGGUACCUAACCAGAAAGCCACGGCUAACUACGUGCCAGCAGCCGCCGUAA
rnacentral:rRNA from 1 species